UUCAAUACGUUGAGUCCUUUCCCACAGUCUCCAGGCUGAUACAGACGGAGUGAUGUUGAUUAAAUCAGGUAUGUAGUACCACUGUUAUCGAUAGACGGAUGGGAUUUGUCCGGUGAUGAUCAAUGGGUAACGUUCAACACGUCUGAUUUGUCCAAACGGGGUUCAUCUGAGAGAGUUUCACCUCAACACUAUGACAUAUCCCGUUGAGGUAAAGAUCCUCCUGUAACACUAUGUCAUAUCCCGUUGAGGUAAAGAUCCUCCUGUAACACUAUGUCAUAUCCCGUUGAGGUAAAGAUCCUCCUGUAACACUAUAUCAUAUCCCGUUGAGGUAAAGAUCCGCCUGUAACACUAUAUCAUAUCCCGUUGAGGAGUGUCUGACUAAAGAGCCCUAAACCUCUGGUCUAAAGUAGUGCACUAUAUAGGGAAUAGGGUGCCAUAGGGCUCUGGUCUAAAGUAGUGCACUAUAUAGGGAAUAGGGUGCCAUAGGGCUCUGGUCUAAAGUAGUGCACUAUUCAGGGAAUAGGGCCAUUUGCGAUGUGUUCUAUAACAGUACAGCUCUAUGUCCCCUCUCAGGUAGGAUGUGUUCUAUAACACUACAGCUCUAUGUCCCCUCUCAGGUAGGAUGUGUUCUAUAACAGUACAGCUCUAUGUCCCCUCUCAGGUAGGAUGUGUUCUAUAACAGUACAGCUCUAUGUCCCCCUCUCAGGUAGGAUGUGUUCUAUAACACUACAGCUCUAUGUCCCCCUCUCAGGUAGGAUGUGUUCUAUAACACUACAGCUCUAUGUCCCCCUCUCAGGUAGGAUGUGUUCUAUAACACUACAGCUCUAUGUCCCCUCUCAGGUAGGAUGUGUUCUAUAACAGUACAGCUCUAUGUCCCCUCUCAGGUAGGAUGUGUUCUAUAACAUUACAGCUCUAUGUCCCCCUCUCAGGUAGGAUGUGUUCUAUAACACUACAGCUCUAUGUCCCCCUCUCAGGUAGGAUGUGUUCUAUAACACUACAGCUCUAUGUCCCCCUCUCAGGUAGGAUGUGUUCUAUAACAGUACAGCUCCAUGUCCCCUCUCAGGUAGGAUGUGUUCUAUAACACUACAGCUCUAUAUCCCCCUCUCAGGUAGGAUGUGUUCUAUAACAUUACAGCUCUAUGUCCCCCUCUCAGGUAGGAUGUGUUCUAUAACACUACAGCUCUAUGUCCCCCUCUCAGGUAGGAUGUGUUCUAUAACACUACAGCUCUAUGUCCCCCUCUCAGGUAGGAUGUGUUCUAUAACAGUACAGCUCUAUGUCCCCCUCUCAGGUAGGAUGUGUUCUAUAACAGUACAGCUCUAUGUCCCCUCUCAGGUAGGAUGUGUUCUAUAACAGUACAGCUCUAUGUCCCCCUCUCAGGUAGGAUGUGUUCUAUAACAGUACAGCUCCAUGUCCCCUCUCAGGUAGGAUGUGUUCUAUAACACUACAGCUCUAUAUCCCCCUCUCAGGUAGGAUGUGUUCUAUAACAGUACAGCUCUAUGUCCCCCUCUCAGGUAGGAUGUGUUCUAUAACACUACAGCUCUAUGUCCCCUCUCAGGUAGGAUGUGUUCUAUAACAGUACAGCUCUAUGUCCCCUCUCAGGUAGGAUGUGUUCUAUAACACUACAGCUCUAUGUCUCCCUCUCAGGUAGGAUGUGUACUAUAACACUACAGCUCUAUGUCCCCCUCUCAGGUAGGAUGUGUUCUAUAACAGUACAGCUCCAUGUCCCCCUCUCAGGUAGGAUGUGUUCUAUAACAGUACAGCUCUAUGUCCCCUCUCAGGUAGGAUGUGUUCUAUAACACUACAGCUCUAUGUCCCCUCUCAGGUAGGAUGUGUUCUAUAACAGUACAGCUCUAUGUCCCCUCUCAGGUAGGAUGUGUUCUAUAACAGUAUAGCUCUAUGUCCCCCCUCAGGUAGGAUGUGUUCUAUAACAGUACAGCUCUAUGUCCCCUCUCAGGUAGGAUGUGUUCUAUAACAGUACAGCUCUAUGUCCCCUCUCAGGUAGGAUGUGUUCUAUAACACUACAGCUCUAUGUCCCCCUCUCAGGUAGGAUGUGUUCUAUAACAGUACAGCUCUAUGUCCCCUCUCAGGUAGGAUGUGUUCUAUAACAGUACAGCUCUAUGUCCCCUCUCAGGUAGGAUGUGUUCUAUAACACUACAGCUCUAUGUCCCCCUCUCAGGUAGGAUGUGUUCUAUAACACUACAGCUCUAUGUCCCCUCUCAGGUAGUAUGUGUUCUAUAACACUACAGCUCUAUGUCCCCCUCUCAGGUAGGAUGUGUUCUAUAACAGUACAGCUCCAUGUCCCCUCUCAGGUAGGAUGUGUUCUAUAACACUACAGCUCUAUGUCCCCUCUCAGGUAGGAUGUGUUCUAUAACACUACAGCUCUAUGUCCCCCUCUCAGGUAGGAUGUGUUCUAUAACACUACAGCUCUAUGUCCCCUCUCAGGUAGGAUGUGUUCUAUAACACUACAGCUCUAUGUCCCCUCUCAGGUAGGAUGUGUUCUAUAACAGUACAGCUCUAUGUCUCCCUCUCAGGUAGGAUGUGUUCUAUAACACUACAGCUCUAUGUCCCCCUCUCAGGUAGGAUGUGUUCUAUAACAGUACAGCUCUAUGUCCCCUCUCAGGUAGGAUGUGUUCUAUAACAGUACAGCUCUAUGUCUCCCUCUCAGGUAGGAUGUGUUCUAUAACACUACAGCUCUAUGUCCCCCUCUCAGGUAGGAUGUGUUCUAUAACAGUACAGCUCUAUGUCCCCUCUCAGGUAGGAUGUGUUCUAUAACAGUACAGCUCUAUGUCCCCCUCUCAGGUAGGAUGUGUUCUAUAACACUACAGCUCUAUGUCCCCUCUCAGGUAGGAUGUGUUCUAUAACAGUACAGCUCUAUGUCCCCUCUCAGGUAGGAUGUGUUCUAUAACAGUACAGCUCUAUGUCCCCCUCUCAGGUAGGAUGUGUUCUAUAACACUACAGCUCUAUGUCUCCCUCUCAGGUAGGAUGUGUUCUAUAACACUACAGCUCUAUGUCCCCUCUCAGGUAGGAUGUGUUCUAUAACAGUACAGCUCUAUGUCCCCCUCUCAGGUAGGAUGUGUUCUAUAACACUACAGCUCUAUGUCCCCUCUCAGGUAGGAUGUGUUCUAUAACAGUACAGCUCUAUGUCCCCCUCUCAGGUAGGAUGUGUUCUAUAACACUACAGCUCUAUGUCCCCUCUCAGGUAGGAUGUGUUCUAUAACACUACAGCUCUAUGUCCCCUCUCAGGUAGGAUGUGUUCUAUAACACUACAGCUCUAUGUCCGCUCUCAGGUAGGAUGUGUUCUAUAACACUACAGCUCUAUGUCCCCCUCUCAGGUAGGAUGUGUUCUAUAACACUACAGCUCUAUGUCCCCCUCUCAGGUAGGAUGUGUUCUAUAACAGUACAGCUCUAUGUCCCCUCUCAGGUAGGAUGUGUUCUAUAACAGUACAGCUCCAUGUCCCCUCUCAGGUAGGAUGUGUUCUAUAACAGUACAGCUCUAUGUCCCCUCUCAGGUAGGAUGUGUUCUAUAACACUACAGCUCCAUGUCCCCUCUCAGGUAGGAUGUGUUCUAUAACAGUACAGCUCUAUAUCCCCUCUCAGGUAGGAUGUGUUCUAUAACAGUACAGCUCUAUAUCCCC